UCUCAGCAACCCAGUGUACUCCAGGCACCGUCCUGAAAGUGACCAGGCAGCAUUCCUGCCUUGAGUGAUUCUGCAACCCCGCCUUGCUGCCAAGUCAGCACCCAGCACUGGGCUGGGCUGCCCUCCUCUCUUCUCAGGGAAUUACUGCAAAGAAUGUACUUAAGUGCUGAGGAGGCAAGCCGCAGUGGGGCAAUCUGAGGCGGGCGGCUCCCUCCAGGAAGGCUUCCGGGAGGAGGACCCCAGACUAGGGGAAGGUAUUGUAAUGGCUACAAGGGUAAGCAACUGGCCAUCAGGAACAUGCUGUGGGAGGAGCUGGGGGCAGGGAGGGCAGGGAGGAACACCCAUUAGGCACCUAUUGAAUACCUGGACCUUCUCACCAGAAUCUAUGGAGGAAUCGAUGUUCUCUCUCUCUCUUUUUUUUUCUUUUUAAAGAUUUUAUUUUUAAGUAAUCUCUAUACCCCUCAUGGGGCUCCAACUCACAACCCGGGAUCAAGAGCUACAUGCUUCAUUGACUGAACCAGCCAGAUCCCCAGAUGGGUGAUGAUUCUCUAUGAUCUCCAAGUUAUAGCCGGGGAAACCAAGGCUCACAGAAGUGUCAUCAUCUGCCUGGAGAUCACGUACAGGCGCCUUCAAAUCCAGUAGACACCACGGCCAACCUUCACUUCCAGUUCUGGGGAAGGACACUGGACACCCGAUGUCGCCUCCACCACGCAGGCAUCAGGGCCCGCUCACCUGCACAAUCUGCCGGGGCUGCACGCUCAGAGUGGGGAAGUUGCCGCGCCCGUGAAUGGGAAUCGGUUCUUUCAGGAGCGCGUCCAGUCGCUUCACCUGUGGCCAGCCUAGCCCACUCAGGUGCC